rnacentral:lncRNA from 1 species
GUAAAACACAAGAUCAACUGAAAGUCAACUAGAAUUUAUCUAAAAUAAACUAAAUCAUGCCAAUUUAUGGAUCAUAUUUUAUUUUAUUAUUUAUAUACAAAUUUUACAACAUACUGGGUAAAUGGAUCUAGAGGGGUGCCCCACUGCCAUUAAAUUGGAUAAAAAGACAAUCAAAUGAAUGCUAUAUCCCCAUUUUGCAUCCUUUCAUAUGCAAAAAUAUAUAAAUAUUAAUUCAAAAAGGGUUUCCAAAGUUUGUUGUUUUUAAAGAGUCAUGGUAUUUAUCUACAUGAAGACUUCAUUUGGUAAAUUUCUUUGUUUUAAUCAAUUAUUU